GUAGGUGAACCUGCGGAAGGAUCAUUAAUGAGAGGGGUUUUCGGACUCCGGGGGCUUCAGCCCCCAACUCUUCACCCUAUGUUCACAUCCCUUUGUUGCUUUGGCGGGCCUCGGGUUUACCCCGUACCGUACCGGUCGCGCGCGGGUAUCUUCGCCCCGGCCGUUCGUGCCCGUCAGAGGCCCAUCAAACUCCGCUUAUCAGUGUCGUCCGAGUAAAACCACAAUAGUCAAAACUUUCAACAACGGAUCUCUUGGUUCUG
rnacentral:misc_RNA from 1 species